AACACUUUCGGCCGACAACAGUAGCAGACAUACACAGUCACCAUUAUCGAUAUCGUUUUGCUAAAGAUUCGAUAAGAUCGAAUUGACAAUAGGAUCAGUUGAAGCAGUCGUCAUUUCAAAUGGCAGUUGCGAUGUGCGGAGCGAUAUGUGGAGACGUAAAAAAUUAAUUAAAGACGAAGUAGUCACUCAAAAACAUUCCUUUCAAAAUUUCUAUGCUACUUCGUCCAACAUAUUGAUAAAGAAAAAUGUUAAGCGAUGUUAAGGUGGGAAUCAAAUUGAGGCCUUUGAUUCAACAAGAACAAGAUGAAAAUUUAUCAAUGCAAUGGAUUGUAAAGGGAAAUUCGAUUGUUUCAUUAGAUCAAGAGACAAACAAAUGGAGGGAUAAUGAAUUUCAGUUUGAUUAUAGCUUUGAUGUAAAUACAAGAAAUUCCAAAGUAUUUGAUAGUAUUAUAAAAUCUAUUGUUGAUGCUACUAUAGAUGGUUUCAAUGGAACAAUAUUUUUUUAUGGUCAGUUUCAUUCUGGUAAAACAUACACAGUGACAGGCACUUCGGAAGAUCCAGGCAUAAUACCACUUACUGCUGAAUACAUAUUUAAUGCUAUUUCAAAUAUCAUUCAAUGUGAAUUUUUAUUAAGGGUAUCUUAUUUAGAAAUUCAUGAUGAGAAAAUAAAUGACUUAUUAGAUAAAAACCAAAUUGAUUUAGAAUUAUAUAAAGAUAACAAUGGACAAAUAAUUGUUAAAUGUACAGAAAAAAUUACAAAUUCUUCAGAUGAUAUGUUAUCUAUAAUGAAAGAAGGAAUUAAGAAUAAACAUAUUAGUAGUCAUAGCAUAUUUCAAAUUAUAAUUGAAAGUCAACAAAUUGAAGGAGAUUCAAACAAUAUUGUACGAUUGUCACAAUUAAAUUUGGUAGAUCUUGCUGGUUUUACAAAAGUUCAUUGUACAAAAGGUAUUGAAGAACAUCAAACUGAUAUAUCUCUUUUUACUCUAGAAUCAAUAAUUGCACAAAUAAGUAAGUCACAAAAUGCCCAGGAACAUAUUGAUUAUCAUAAUAGUAAAUUAACAGAAUUACUGCAGUCAUCGUUAAGUGGCAAUGCUUUAAUAGCGGUAAUAUGUACAGUAACACCUGUUGCUUUAGAGGAAACAUAUUACACUCUAUUGUUAGUAUGCUAUUUUUACAAUGCCAUUUAUAACUUUACAUGUACUAGAAUAUUAUUUUUGAUAUUUAGGUUUGCAUCACAUACUAAAAAAAUUAAAACUAAACCACAAAAGAACGAAGUUAUGUUUGAUGCAUCGCUUCUUCAUUAUGCAAAACAAGUGAAAUUAAAGCAAAUAAGAAAUGGAAACUCAUCUAUAGAAGUAGAAGAAGUAGAAUCUAACAAACUACAACAGAAAUGUCGCUUGUUAGAAGAACGUAUAAAAUUAUUAAAGACUCAAACUAUUUCUGGAUAUGAAAAAAAUUGUGAAAAGGCACUUAACUAUAAGUCUAAAAGAAGAGAAAUUUGGUGUAAUCCUGGCAUGAUCAAACCGUAUUUCCCUGUAUUUCAUACUCAAAUUUGCUUACCAACAAUAAAAGAAAUUUCACCUGAGAAACUACAUAAAAAAAACAUUAUGCAAUCAGUUGACAUAAAUGAAACUGACUUUGUAUUUUCAGCAUUUCAGACAGAUCUUGAAUCAGAAGCAAUUGAUUAUGAAGUAGACUAUAAAAUCAAAGUGAAUGAUAAUAUUGGAAAUGAACAUGUUAAAUGCAUGAAAAGUGAUAACUUACUUCUAAUGCCAGAAACACAACAUACUUUGAUACAAACUUCUAGAAAUGAAAUAUGUCCUUCUACACCGAAAAGUAUUUUACGGGAAUGUAUCGUGGACCUGACAACGCAACUUACUGAACUUCGUGAAUUUACAACUUUAGAGAAACAACUAACGUGUGAAGGAAACCAUUGUUGCAAACAUGACAUAGGAGAACAAGCGGAAAUACAGUUUGUUUGUGAUGGUUUUAAAAAUAACAGAAUUGAUAAAUAUUCUCCAAACUAUGUAAUACAAUUAGAAGAAGAGAAAGAUAAAUUGGCAGUAGAGGUAAAGUUAAAAAGUCAAGAAUUGGCUGAAAUAAAGGAUGAUGUUCGAAGCCUUAAAUUAGAUAUAGAAAAAUUUGAAAAAACUAUUUAUUUAUUAACAAAUGAAAAUAUGGAAAUGUCAAAUAAAUUGUCCGUUGAAAACGAACGUUCGAAAGAAGCUGAACUAAAUUUUCAAACAACAGUUACUGAACUUUACACACAGAUUUCGAAAAUUACAGAAGAAAAAAUUAAUUUAGAAGGCGAUAUAACAGUCUUAAAUGAACAAUUAAAAUCAUUUUGUUCAAAAACCGUAGGAGAAUACUAUAAUGAGCAAUUACUAAUUGAACAUCAGAAUAAAAUUGAUGCAUUGAAAACAGAAAAUAUUGAAUUAUCAACUAUUAUUGCAGAUAAAAAUAAAGAACUUGAAAAUGUUAAAGAAAGUAAAUCACUAUUAUAUGACCAUGAUUGUAUUUAUAAGGAUAAAGUUACAUUAUUGACUGAAAAAAAUAAAUGUUUAAUGCAAGAAAAUAAUGAACUUUCCUCUGAUCUGAUAGAUAAAAUUGAGGAAAGUGAUAUAUUGAAAGAACAGUGUGAUAUUUUGAAUAAUAAAAUGAUUUUACUAAAAAACGUAGAUUCCAAAAACGACAUAGAACAAUUAAGAUUGGAAAACAAUAUUUUAAAAGCCAAGAUAGCAGAAUUAAAAAUGAAAAUAACAAUAUUAACUAAUGAAAAUGCAAAGAUUUCCAAUAAUCUAUUAGAAAGUAUGGAGGAUUUUGGUAACCCAUGCAAUGAAAAAGUAAAUAGCAAUUCAUUGCAUUCAUCUAUAGUACCUGAUAAUCCUGAAAAGUCAAAUGAGACUAUGGAGAAAAUAUUACAAGGAGAAAGUUACGAGGAACUGUCAAAUAAAGUUAUAGUAUUACAGGACAAAGUUACUCAUCUAUCUCGUUUAAAUAAAAAAUUAAGUGAUUUAAAAUUAUCAUCCUGUGGUCAAUGUGAACAUUUAAAGAAGAUAAGUGAGAGUCGUAGAGCUUUUAAACUUGAAGCAAAAAUUUUAAAUCACAAAUUGGAAGACUUACAAAAAAAGUUCAAUCAGAAAUGUGAGGAUACUGAAGCAUUAAAACUUAAGGUUAAUCAAGAGUUGAAUGUAAGUUUUACUGAUACAUCAUUGAACACUAGUUUUGUAGAUAGAAUGAAUGUAAGCUUUGUAGAGGAGAAGGUUCAACACUUAAAUAACGAAUUACGGACUUUGAAGCAUGACCACGAUGAACUUUCAGUUUCAUAUAUAAAAAAAUGUGACGAACUUGAAAAGCUUCAUAAUGAAACGAAAAUCGAGCACCUUCAAAAUAAUAUCGAACAAGUAAAAGAAGAUAUAGAUGAAAUAAAGAAAAAUAGUGCACAUUUUGUUUCUAUGCUUAGUAAAUUUAGGAUGCAAAAAGAAAACUUAUUAGACCAAAUCAAUACACUAAGAAGCGAUAAUGAAGCGUUACAACAAAAAGUAGCAGAGAAAGAGAUAUUAGCAGCUGCAGCUACAGAGAAAGCUCAAAUUCUUGAGAAUGAAUUAUCAUGUAUGAAUAAAGAACUCGAACAGUUUUUCGUGAAAGAAAAACUAACGCAGACCGAAAAAAUGACACUAGAAAUACAAUUAGAGGGUUUAAAGGUUGAAAAUGAAAAUAAAGGUAAUCUUAUUACUAAAUUAAAUAGAAUGACUGGUGAUUUGAAUGGAUGUAUAUUAUCACUGAAACAUGAAUUAGAUUUAACAACAAACCAAAAAGAGGAAUUAACUAUAUUAACUGAAAAUAUUAAAUGUAAACAUAAAAAUGAAUUAGAACUUCUAAAAAAGCAAUGUGAUAAAUUAGAACAAGAAAAACAAAAAAGUAUAGAAACAGAAAAACAUGUAACACUGCGAGUAAAUGAAUUAGAGUCAUAUAUAGGAAAGCUUAAAAUAGAUUUGGGAAAACAAAAAAACUUACAUUGUGAGUUAAAUACUAUCAAGGAACGUAUGAUCAAAGAAUUAAAGUCAUUUAAGUUGAAUUCUUUAGAUUUUUUAAAUAAAACCGCAGACGAAAUUUUCAUCAUUUUUUUGCAAACAAUCAUGUUGAAAGAAGAAGAAGUAAUUAAAGAAAUGAGAGAAUUACUCGAAAAAGACAAACUAAAAUUAGAGGAUGAAAAGCGGCAAAGUGCAGAUGCUGAAAAGCGCGCAGUAUUAUGGGCUAAAGAAUUGGAAAUAGAAAAUGAAAAAUUACAUGUUGAUUUAACAAAAACGGAGUGUUUAUGUAUAAAAAAGCAAGAUGAAAUUAACCAAUUAAAACACCUUAUAAAAGAAAGUAAUCAUGAAAAAGAGAUACUUAAAGAAAAAAUGGAAAUGCUAGAAACUGAUUUCAAUAAUUUACAAAGCGAAUUUGACAAACAAUGCAAAGUAGAUAUUCAACAGAAAGGACAAGCAUCUAUUGUUGCACAAAAACGAGAAAAACAAGUACAAGAAGCUCUUAAAUACAAAGAAAUUGAACUUCAGUCUAAUAUGGAAUCUGAAAAGGAACGGUAUGAAAAGAAAAUAGAAGAGUUAGUUUGCACUAUAGAAAUCCAUAAAACAAAAAAUCUAGAAUUGAAAAACAAUAUUGAAGGGCUUGAAGCUAAUGAAAAACAAUUGAAAAAUAUUAUAGAAGCAAAUUCCUCAGAACUGAAAGUAACCAAUCAAGCUAUUUAUAAAAUGACACUUGAUUUUGAACAUCUCACAGAAGCUUAUAACGAAUUAAACCGCGAUGUAAAAGAAAAAGCGUCUCGAAUUGAAAACAUCACAGCACUUUUGAAAAAUAAAUGUGACAUGCUAUCCGAAUAUAAAACUAAAUUCGAAACUAUUAUACCAGAUUAUGAAAUACUACAAAAUCAAGUUAAAGAAAGAAAAGAAAGCAUAGAACGAUAUAAAGAAGAAAUAGAAAGAUUGAAAAUGGAAAAGGAAAAACAAAUUGAAGAAAUCAAAGAUAAAUUAAAUUCAGAAGAAAUAAAAAAUACCGGAUUAAAUAAACAAUUAAACGAAUUAAAUAGCAAAAAUAUUGCUUUGAUAGAAGAAUUAGAUAACUUAAAAGAAGUACAUGACCAAUUGCGACAAGUAAAUGCGAAAUUAGAAAGAAAAAUUAGAAAUAGUACAAGUAAAAUAAAAGCUGAAGCAGACAUGGAAGAAUUAAAGGAUGUAAACAAAAGGUUGCAAAAUAACUUGGAAGGUGCAAGUAACCGUAUAAUUGAACUGCAGGAAAGCAAAAAUAAAACUUUCAAAGAACUAGUUAAUUUAAAAAAUCAAUAUGAAUUACUGUCCCAAGAAAAUGCUGAACUAAAGAAAACUUUAUCAUUACACAAAUCCAGAGAAAAUACUUUAUAUUUAUUUGCAGAAGAUAGUAAAUAUGAUACACUUCUUCAAGAAAAGAAUAAAAUUGCACUACAAUUAGAAGGUAAAAAAUUAUUAUUGUCACAAAAAGACAAAGAGAUUGUAGAAUAUGUAAGUCAAAUCAAUGAUUUGAUUAUUAAAAAAAAAGAACUUGAUAACCAAUUAAAAGAUAAAAUGUACAUUCAGCAAGCUGAAAAUAAAUUGGUUAAAGAAUUAACGAGAAAGUUAACAACUUUAGAAGAAGAAAAUAAAGAAAUGAAAGAUCAACUUAAAACGUUUAAAACAGUGGCACAAACUAAUAUAAAACAGGUAGGAGAUACAAAGUUAGACAAUGAAAAAUUUAUUGAUACUCUGAAAAAAAGGAAUUCGGAAUUACAAAUUAAAUUUAAUGAGUAUCAAACUGAAUUGAAACUAAAAAGCAACAGUAGUGAUUCAACAUCUACUAGUCCAGCUUUUGAAAACAACAGAAGAAGACAUAGCAGGAAUGAGAUAUUUAAUCAAAGAAGACAAUUAGAAGAUGUAAUAAUUGAUACAGAUCCCAGUGAAGAUAGACAAACAUGUCAAGUAUUGAGAAAAAAAAUUCAUGAGUUAGAAUUGCAACUAGUAACAAAACAUGGACAAAUUUCAGCAUUAGAAAUCCAAAUCCAGAGUGAAAAUUUUCCUUAUCUACAAAAAUGUAAGGAAUUGCAGGAACUUUUGCUCACAUCUCGCAAAAAGAAUGCUGAACUUAGCUCUGAGGUAAGAAAACUUCAAAGGACUCUAAACGACAUUAACGCGUGGGAAUGUGACAUAUGUAGACGAUGGCGAAUUAAUAGAAGAGAACAAGCAUGUCAAACAUUUAAUAAUGCGCAACAACUUUUUACAAUAAAUAAUGAAAUAAUUAAGGAUGAUACAAAAGUAACGAAAUUGGAAAAAGAGAAAGCAAUAAUAAAAGAUGUAUGUCGUGCACGAUGCCGACAAAUAAAAGAAUUGGAGGAUAAAGUAAGAGAAUUAGAAGAAGCACAGACAUCACACUUAAAGUGCAUUGAAUUUUUGAAAGAAAGAUCUAAUCAACAACAUACUUCCAUGGUGCACUUCAACAAACAAUUUGACUUGGAAAAAAAUAUGAAACUGUGAGAAGCACAGUUCUUUAAAUAUGCUUUGCUUGAAACUAAACUAUCAAGAUUUUUUUUUUUCUAGUGGUGCUUAACUAUUGGAAUGAAACUAAUAUAAUUUAUUUAUUUAUAUAUGCAAUGGGAUGUACAUGCAUUAUUAUUUAGUGUAAUUAGAACCAAAAUUCAAGUGACAUAGCAAUGAAAGAAAAAGUUUCAGCCAAUGUGUUAAAGCUUGCAAAGUCUUCAAAUUAUAGAAGAAGCAUAUGGAACUCUAAUUAAUAAAAAUAUCUUCCAAGAAUUAUAGCCUAUGAUAUCGUUAAAAAUAUAUGUAGGAAGGCUAUCACUAUUCAAGUAUUACAUUCAUUCCUACUUUGUUAAGUUAAUGUAAAUAGUAACAAUAUUAAAGUAUCUGCAUUUCUGAGAUAUUAUAUUUUUGUACUUUCAUAAAAUAAUGUAAAUACGGAUAAACUAAUUUUUAUAUGUACUCUGACGUAAAAAGUGGCUAUAUUUAUACAUGUCGUAUCAUUCAUGCCAACUUUAUAAUAAAACACAAUCCAUGAUUCUAUAAACUUUCAUAGUAUAAUUGCAUUAAUGUUAAUAUAUAUGGAGUAUCCUAAACUUAAUUGGCCAAACGACAAGGGCUUAAUCUACAGUCAAAAAGAUGAAAAAAAUUUUAUAUAAAAUUUUCCACCAAAUACUUUGUUGCAAAGUUAUAGAGAUAUUGUACACAGUUAUUGAAAAACUCAGUAAAAUUCUCUUUAUAACUUGUACUUUGUAAUUAAUUCCAUUGUUCAUUGAUAGAAAGUUCAUAUCCAAGCACAAUGGCAACAUUUAAAAAUGAGGAGAUUAAAAGUACUACUUAAUCAUUUUUAUUAUAUUACAUAUUAUAUUUUAUAACUAAAAGAGCUGUAAAGAAAGCUGAAAGUUCGUCCAAAGCCGAGAGGCACGGACUAAAUAAAAAUAAUAAUAAUAAUAUAUUUUAUAACUAUUGAUAACAUGGAAUUGUUACCACAUGAUAAAAAGCAUGUAAGUACACUGACACAAUAACACAGUCAACGUUUGUGUGCUAUGAUGAAAAAUUCGUUAUUACCUAUUUCAUGCAUACAAUAUUUGUUUAAAAUAUAACAAAGUAUUUAUUGACAAACUUUAUAUAACAUCUCUUUCUUCUUUUUGCCUGUAGACUAGAAGUUCUCACAGUAUGGUCGUUUAAGUUUGGGGCACUCUGUAUAUAAAAUGUGCCAUAAAUUAAUUAUUGUUCCGAGUUCAAACUUAAAUUAUAUAAUGUAAUUGUGACGUAAAAAAAAGAAAAAAAACAUGUAUGUAAGAUUUAUUACUAUAACAAUUAAAACAGUGAAGAAGUAAUUAAGUUGUACUACAUUAAAUUCAUUCACUAAAAUGUAAACAAAAAAUAUUAAGUGCUAAAAUUAUUUCCCUUUUGUUUGAAAUAUGUGCUCUAACGAAGUCAUUACGAAGUAUCAGAGAAGAAAUGAUCACGCCCGUAAUUCUCUGGUUGUUUCAUGUACAGGUGGUGCACCAUGUGGUCACGUGCUGAAUUUAACUAAAAUUAGCAUACACAAGAACUUAUAAAAUUAGGGAUCUGCCCCGUUUAGUCGUAAUUUAGCAUAUACAAGAAUCUAUGUAUUUAAGCUUAAAGUUAGGGAUUUUGGUUGCACACUAGCAUAGAUAAGAACCUAUUUAAUCAUACGGUUCUACGAAAAAGUUUUGUAGAUUCUUAUCUUAGAAAAAGAGACGAAUUCAACGACCUUGCAUAUGAGGUGAGUUACUUUUGUAAAAUAUUAUAAAUUCGUCAGUUCCUAAAGACUCAGGUGAGCUAGAGUUGAUAGCUACCGGCUAUUAGGUUGCUAUAAACGCUGUAAACAAAUAUUGAAUUUCUUAUCUUCCAUGGUGCUUCUCAAAUUACCAAACAUUACUGAAUUGUGGAAACUCACUUUAGUUAACAUACUUUAGUCGAAUAAAAAUUGUAAGUGUCAAAAAUAUCUAUCAAAUGAGACGUCACAUGUUAAAAUUGGUUAAUUCGUUGAGCCAUAAAUAAAUAAAAACCAUCCAUGGUCGCACUAUUUUCAAUUGUCAAUUAUUCAUGAAAAAUUGAGAAUGCAAAGUCAAAAAU